UUUAUGAGACUCAAAUGUAUGGAGCUUUAGUUUUAAAUUACGCAGAUCCCAUAAAGCUACAGUCUGAAGAAAAAUAACAUGAAAAGGAAUUAAAUUUUGCCCUUUCCUUAAGAGUUUUAAAAUAUCUGAUUAAUAUACCAGACAACUA